rnacentral:rRNA from 1 species
AAGAACCCCUGUGAGGGGAGUGAAAUAGAACCUGAAACCGUGUACGUACAAGCAGUAGGAGCAGGCUUUGUCCUGUGACUGCGUACCUUUUGUAUAAUGGGUCAGCGACUUAUAUUCAGUGGCAAGGUUAACCAUCUAGGGGAGCCGUAGGGAAACCGAGUCUUAACUGGGCGUUCAGUCUCUGGAUAUAGACCCGAAACCAGGUGAUCUAGCCAUGGGCAGGUUGAAGGUUGAGUAACAUCAACUGGAGGACCGAACCGACUAAUGUUGAAAAAUUAGCGGAUGACUUGUGGCUAGGGGUGAAAGGCCAAUCAAACCUGGAGAUAGCUGGUUCUCCCCGAAAGCUAUUUAGGUAGCGCCUCGGACGAAUACUACUGGGGGUAGAGCACUGUUAAGGCUAGGGGGUCAUCCCGACUUACCAACCCUUUGCAAACUCCGAAUACCAGUAAGUACUAUCCGGGAGACACACGGCGGGUGCUAACGUCCGUCGUGGAGAGGGAAACAACCCAGACCGCCAGCUAAGGUCCCAAAUUACUACUAAGUGGGAAACGAUGUGGGAAGGCUCAGACAGCCAGGAUGUUGGCUUAGAAGCAGCCAUCAUUUAAAGAAAGCGUAAUAGCUCACUGGUCGAGUCGGCCUGCGCGGAAGAUGUAACGGGGCUAAGUA